GCCAUGAUUAUGUGAUGGUUGUUUACUAUGUUGUUUGCUUUCUUUCCGGUGUACUUCUUCUCGGUAAUCCGGUAACGUCGUGUUGUGAGGAUUCGUUCGACUACGUCCGUUUGUCUUCUUCAUGGACUCGUUCUUCUUCCUUGCGGGAUUUCAGGCAAGAUGACCAUACCCUCGAAAUCACUUCUAUCUUUGCUUGCUAGAUGCUCGCUCUUUUGCUAUGCCUAUGAUGCGAUACCUACCACUUGCUUAUCAUGCCUCCUAUAUUGUUGAACCAAGCCUCUAACCCACCUUGUCCUAACAAACCAUUGUUUGGCUAUGUUACCGCUUUGCUCAGCCCCUCUUAUAGCGUUGUUAGUUGUAGGUGAAGAUUGAAGUUUGUUCCUUGUUGGAACAUGGAGAUGUUGUUCCUUGUUGGAAUAUGUUUACUUGUUGGGAUAUCACCAUAUCUCUUAUUUAAUUAAUGCAUCUAUAUACUUGGUAAAGGGUGGAAGGCUCGGCCUUAUGCCUGGUGUUUUGUUCCACCCAUGCCGCCCUAGUUUCCGUCAUAUUGGUGUUAUGUUCCCGGAUUUUGCGUUCCUUACGCGGUUGGGUUAUAAUGGGAACCCCUUGACAGUUCGCCUUGAAUAAAACUCCUCCAGCCAUGCCCAACAUUGGUUUUACCAUUCGCCAUCUAGCCUUUUCUUUCCCUUGGGUUCUGCAGAUUCAAGGGUCAUCAUUAUUUUAACCCCCCUGGGCGAGUGCUCCUCUGAGUGUUGGUCCAACCGAGUAGACUGCGGGGCCACCUCGGGGCAACUUGAGGGUUGGUUUUCUUCGUAGGAUGUCUCAUCUGAGUGUGCCCUGAGAACGAGAUAUGUGCAGCUCCUAUCGGGAUUUGUUGGCACAUUCGGGCGGUGUUGCUGGACUUGUUUUACCAUUGUCGAGGAUGUCUUGUAACCUGGAUGCCAAGCCUGAUCGGAUUGUCUUGGGAGAAGGAAUAUCCUUCGUUGACCGUGAGAGCUUGUGAUGGGCUAAGUUGGGACACCCCUGCAGGGAUUUUGAACUUUCGAAAGCCGUGCCCGCGGUUAUGGGCAGAUGGGAAUUUGUUAAUGUCCGGUUGUAGAAAAGCUGAAGUUGAUCUUAAUUAAAAUACAUCAACCGCGUGUGUAACCAUGAUGGUCUCUUCUCGGCGGAGUCCGGGAAGUGAACACGGUGUUGGAGUAAUGUUUGACGUAGGUUGUUCUAGGAUCACUUCUUGAUCAUAGUUGUUCGAACGUGCCUUUGCUCUCUCUUCUCGCUCUCAUUUGCGUAUGUUAGCCACCAUAUAUGCUAGUGGCUUGUUGCAGCUCCACCUCAUACCUUUUACCCUUCCUAUAAGCUUAAAUAGUCUUGAUCGCGAGGGUGUGAGAUUGCUAAGUCCCCGUGACUCACAGUAAUUCCAAAACCAUCUUGCAGGUGCCGAGGAUACCGUGCAGAUGAUGCAACCAAGCUCAAGGAGGAGCUCGAUGAAGAUCUUGUCCUUUGUCUUGUUUCGAUCUAGUUGAUCAGUAGUGGAGCCCAGUCGGGACGAUCGGGGAUCUGUGUAGCAUUUGGGGUAGUCUUCUUUUAUUUUGGUUCCAUAGUCAGACCUUGAUUGUAUCUGGAUGAUGUAAUGCUUUAUUCAUGUAAUAGUGUGAAGUGGCGAUUGUAAGCCAACUAUGUAUCUCUUUCCCUUAUGUAUUACGUGGGUUGUGUGAAGAUUACCUCACUUGUGGCAUUGCUUUCAAUGCGGUUAUGCCUCUAAGUCGUGCUUCGACACGUGGGAGAUAUAGCCGCAUCGAGGGCGUUAAAAGUUGGUAAUCAG
rnacentral:lncRNA from 1 species